rnacentral:rRNA from 1 species
AUACGUAGGGUGCAAGCGUUAAUCGGAAUUACUGGGCGUAAAGCGUGCGCAGGCGGUUUUGUAAGACAGAGGUGAAAUCCCCGGGCUCAACCUGGGAACUGCCUUUGUGACUGCAAGGCUAGAGUACGGCAGAGGGGGAUGGAAUUCCGCGUGUAGCCGUGAAAUGCGUAGAUAUGCGGGGGAAAACCGAUGGCGAAGGCAAUCCCCUGGGCCAGUUCUGACGCUCAUGCGCGAAAGCGUGGGGAGCAAACAGGAUUAGAUACCCUGGGAGUCCACGCCCUAAACGAUGUCAACUGGUUGUUGGGUCUUCAUUGACUCAGUAACGAAGCUAACGCGUGAAGUUGACCGCCUGGGGAGUACGGCCUCAAGGUUGAAACUCAAAGGAAUUGACGGGG